UACGGGGGGGGCAAGCGUUGUUCGGAAUUACUGGGCGUAAAGGGCUCGUAGGUGGCCAACUAAGUCAGACGUGAAAUCCCUCGGCUUAACCGGGGAACUGCGUCUGAUACUGGAUGGCUUGAGAUUGGGAGAGGGAUGCGGAAUUCCAGGUGUAGCGGUGAAAUGCGCAGAUAUCAGGAGGAACACCAAUGGCGAAGGCAGCUCGCUGGGACGUGACUGACGCUGAGACGCGAAAGCGUGGGGAGCAAACGGG
rnacentral:rRNA from 1 species